rnacentral:rRNA from 1 species
GACGAACGCUGGCGGCGUGCUUAACACAUGCAAGUCGAGCGGUAAGGCCCUUUCGGGGGGUACACGAGCGGCGAACGGGUGAGUAACACGUGGGUGACCUGCCUCUAGCUCUGGGAUAAGCCUGGGAAGCUGGGUCUAAUACCGGAUAUGACCUCGCGGUGCAUGUUGCGGGGUGGAAAGCCUUGUGCGGCUAGGGAUGGGCCCGCGGCCUAUCAGCUUGUUGGUGGGGUGAUGGCCUACCAAGGCGACGACGGGUAGCCGGCCUGAGAGGGCGACCGGCCACACUGGGACUGAGACACGGCCCAGACUCCUACGGGAGGCAGCAGUGGGGAAUCUUGCGCAAUGGGCGAAAGCCUGACGCAGCGACGCCGCGUGAGGGAUGACGGCCU